GGGGUUGUGGCUCAGUGGUAGAGUACUCUCCUAGCAUGUGUGAGGCACCUGGUUUGAUCCUCAACACCA
rnacentral:tRNA from 1 species